GACUUUGUUUUACCGCGUCUCGUGCGUUCGAAUUCAAAUCUUCGAGAUAUUCCUCAAUCCAAGUCGACACCUAUUUAUCUUUUGUUCUAAUCAGCCAAUAGCCUAUUUCUUCAAACAAGCAAACAGUAAAAGAUUGUUUAUCUGUUAUUUUUAAUACUAUUGUGUUCAAUCGCUCAAUAGGCUGGGUAUAUCCAGAGGACGUUGUUUUUGAUAUUGGGAAGGAUGGAGAAAGCGUCUAUUUUGUAAGAGUGUUUCAUUCAGAAACCAAAAAAACAAUAGAGGAUUUAUGUACAAAAGUAGAACAGAAAGUGCGAGCCAAAAGUAAG